rnacentral:rRNA from 1 species
UGGGGAAUGUUGGACAAGGGGCGCAAGCCUGAUCCAGCCAUGCCGCGUGCAGGAUGAAGGCCUUCGGGUUGUAAACUGCUUUUGUACGGAACGAAAAGGUUUGGCCUAAUAAGCUGAGCUCAUGACGGUACCGUAAGAAUAAGCACCGGCUAACUACGUGCCAGCAGCCGCGGUAAUACGUAGGGUGCGAGCGUUAAUCGGAAUUACUGGGCGUAGAGCGUGCGCAGGCGGUUAUGUAAGUCAGUGGUGAAAUCCCCGGGCUCAACCUGGGAAUUGCAUCUGUGACUGCAUAGCUGGAGUGCGGCAGAGGGGGAUGGAGUUCCGCGGGUAGCAGUGAAAUGCGUAGAUAUGCGGAGGAACACCGAUGGCGAAGGCAAUCCCCUGGGCCUGCACCGACGCUCAUGCACGAAAGCGUGGGGAGCAAACA